UACGAGGGGUCCAAGCGUUGCUCGGAAUCAUUGGGCGUAAAGCGGGUGUAGGUGGCUUUGUAAGUCAGGAGUGAAAGCCCUGGGCUCAACCCAGGAAGUGCUUUUGAUACUGCAAAGCUUGAGUGUGGGAGAGGAUCGUGGAAUUCCAGGUGUAGUGGUGAAAUACGUAGAUAUCUGGAGGAACAUCGGUGGCGAAGGCGGCGAUCUGGCCCAACACUGACACUCAGACCCGAAAGUGCGGGGAUCAAACAGGACGUUAGAA
rnacentral:rRNA from 1 species